AUGAACGCUGGCGGCGUGCUUAACACAUGCAAGUCGAACGAGGUCCAACCUUCGGGUGAAGACUUAGUGGCGAACGGGUGAGUAACACGUGGGCAACCUGCCCCUCACACUGGGAUAACUCAGGGAAACUUGAGCUAAUACCGGAUACUCCGUCUAGGUCGCAUGGCCAUGAUGGGAAAGCUCCGGCGGUGGGGGAUGGGCCCGCGGUCCAUUAGCUUGUUGGUGGGGUAACGGCUCACCAAGGCUACGAUGGAUAGCCGAGCUGAGAGGCUGAUCGGCCACACUGGGACUGAGACACGGCCCAGACUCCUACGGGAGGCAGCAGUGGGGAAUCUUGCGCAAUGGGCGAAAGCCUGACGCAGCAACGCCGCGUGCGGGAUGAAGGCUCUCGGGUCGUAAACCGCUUUCAGUAGGGACGAAACUGACUGUACCUACAGAAGAAGCCCCGGCUAAAUACGU
rnacentral:rRNA from 1 species